UGAAUGCUGCCUUUAGUGUACCAAGCAGACGUUAGCUGCGACGUACACUGAAACAAAACAAGAAAACAGGAAGUUUUCCAUCAGUCAAGUUUUCUCUGUGCUCAGGACAGAACACAAAACGCCUGUCGAAAAAUGUAUCCAGUUUUAACCGGUUUGGCACAGACUACCCAAGAUUGGGUUACGCUGACCUGGCGCUGGGCGUAAAUCUGGGAUACACACAUCUGUGCUUCUCUCAGGGACUGAGGCUUGUAAAUCGGAUUUCCACUGUGUGACAUGUGACAUUGAUCUGUGCUCAGAGCUGGGUUUAUUUCGGUACCGCUGUAAACAUCUAGUGAUGUUGACAUUAAUGUGCCUCUCCCAGUUGAUAAAACAGAGGAGCCACCAGCUUUGGGACUCUCAGAGCAUUUAUUCAUCAAAUGGCCAGAGGAGAGCAGGGCUUACCACUCAAAGAGAGAGCAGAGACUCUGAAUGCUGCCGGGACUUCUGGGACAACGGAGAAGCCACAGUUAGAAAGACCUCUCAUAAAAUCUUGUUCCAGACCCAGCGUUCACCAGCGUGAAUUUCUGUGCUUGCUCAGGCCGGCUGAGUGAAAACAAAGAGAACCUUUUUCUCAAUACUUUUGUCUUGUUUUCCAAAAAAUCUCCACUUCAGCAGCACUUCCAGACACAAAACUGCGGAAAACUCUGGGAAAUUGUUAACUUCAAUAUGUCAAAAUUAACACAGAUUUUGUCCAGUGCUCAGAUUUCUGUGCUAGACAUUUAUGCAAACUAGUGCAUAUUUAAUUAGACAAUGCCUCAUUUGUAUAUUUAAAUGUAACAUUUCAGAAAACGUGGUACAAAACAGUUGUCUUAAUGUACUGUAAUUAAUCAACUGGGGAUAUCUAUUAGUUAACAUUUUGUCAUGCCUUAAGAAACAUUUUUUUCCCUAUCCCAAUAGCAAAUUGUUUUUCAUUUUUAAAGGGAUCCCCGGGUAUUAAGACUUGUGUGGCUUAAUAUAACAUAAAUUAUGUUUUUUACUAAAAUAUGUAGUAGGAAACCCAUGAAAGGGCUAUGGGGGAUGCUUUUAUUUCGAUGAUGUAAAAUGGUUGCAUUCAGUGAGCUACUUGCGCUACCUGUUGCUAUUUUUUUACUGCAACACAACUCAAAAUACACAACUCGGAAAAUGAAAUACUGAUACAAUGCCAUAUUGUGCAGCUUUUGCUUGUAAUUUUCAGUCGAAGGGCAACAAGAGAAGCAAUGUAAUUGUUUACUGCUUUCCUAGA